GAGGAGCGUCUCGCUGCAGCCUGCGGUGGACAUCCAACCCGGCCCACAUCCAAGUGUGACGUCACAGACCACGCCCAUGUCAAAAUACGUCACAUUCUCAAUCAUUUUGAAACAGGAAGAAGCAUCGAUAAGAAGAUAAUUUGUAUUGUUUGCCAACCGCUAAAAAGAAGCUGUUGUUUGCCGUGUCGCAUUCUACACAUUUUCAGUCCAAGCCUGAUGCAGAGCAGUUCUCCCGGGUUAAGGGGUCCCUGCUGCAGUUUCACCAGUAAAGAAAAUUACUAGUUACAGUUCACUUGAAGGACCACAUAAGCCAUGCAGUGGUGCAUGGAGGUAUGGAGCGCCAAGAGGACAUAAAGUGGAAGUUUGUAAGGGACAUUGGUCCAGCGUGGUACAGAGUCAUCGUGGGUUAUUCUGUGGGGAGGUGACAGGGCCUGCCGUUCUCCAGAUGGACAGUAAAAAUCAACAGAAUGCCAUCAAAGACUACCUGGAGGGAGAAUCGGAGGAUAUAUUGAAGCAAGGAAUCUCUCUGUGUAGUCUAUGUAUGUAUAUGUGUGUACUGCAUGUCAAGAACUGUUUAUCUGAUCAUUCAGCUGUUCAUUCAGCUGCUCAGACUUUAUAAUAUUUGGAGCAUACCUUUUGUUAAACAACCAGUCAAAAGUUUUUGAACAGUGAGAUUUUUUUAUGUUUUU
ensembl:lncRNA